rnacentral:rRNA from 1 species
GACGAACGCUGGCGGCGUGCUUAACACAUGCAAGUCGAACGGAAAGGCCCUGCUUUUGUGGGGUGCUCGAGUGGCGAACGGGUGAGUAACACGUGAGUAAACUGCCCUUGACUUUGGGAUAACUUCAGGAAACUGGGGCUAAUACCGGAUAGGAGCUCCUGCUGCAUGGUGGGGGUUGGAAAGUUUCGGCGGUUGGGGAUGGACUCGCGGCUUAUCAGCUUGUUGGUGGGGUAGUGGCUUACCAAGGCUUUGACGGGUAGCCGGCCUGAGAGGGUGACCGCCCACAUUGGGACUGAGAUACGGCCCAGACUCCUACGGGAGGCAGCAGUGGGGAAUAUUGCACAAUGGGCGGAAGCCUGAUGCAGCAACGCCGCGUGCGGGAUGACGGCCUUCGGGUUGUAAACCGCUUUCGCCUGUGACGAAGCGUGAGUGACGGUAAUGGGUAAAGAAGCACCGGCUAACUACGUG